GGGCCCGCACAAGCGGUGGAGCAUGUGGUUUAAUUCGAUGCAACGCGAAGAACCUUACCAGGGCUUGACAUACUACGAAUCCCUUUGAAAAAGGGAGUGCCUUCGGGAAUGUAGAUACAGGUGGUGCAUGGCUGUCGUCAGCUCGUGUCGUGAGAUGUUGGGUUAAGUCCCGCAACGAGCGCAACCCUUAUUUUUAGUUACCAAUUCGUUGGGUUCUCUAGAAAGACUGCCGGUGACAAACCGGAGGAAGGUGAGGAUGACGUCAAGUCAGCAUGCCCCUUAUGUCCUGGGCUACACACGUGCUACAAUGGUGGAGACAAAGAGUUGCGAGCUCGCGAGGGUAAGCUAAUCUCAUAAACUUCGCCUAAGUUCAGAUUGCAGGCUGCAACUCGCCUGCAUGAAGUUGGAAUCGCUAGUAAUCG
rnacentral:rRNA from 1 species